rnacentral:lncRNA from 1 species
AUGUGAGGAAAGCGUGCGUGUGUUUGUGUGAGAGAAGUGUGUGUGUGAGAGAAAAGCUGCUUUUGGUUUGUGUGAGAGAAGUGUGUGUGUGAGGAAAGCGUGCGUGUGUUUGUGUGAGAGAAAGCGUGCGUGUGUUUGUGUGAGAGAAAGUGUGUGUGUGAGAGAAAGCGUGCGUGUGUGGUUUGUGUGAGAGAAAAGCGUGCGUGUGUUUGUGUGAGAGAAAGUGUGUGUGGAGUGGAAAGGGUCGUGUGUUUGUAUGAGAGAAAGCGUGUGUUUGUAUGAGAGAAAGCGUGCGUGUGUUUGUGUGAGAGAAAGCGUGGUUGUUUGUAUGAGAGAAAGGUUGCGUUGUGUUUGUGUGAGAGAAAGCGUGUGUGUGUGUUUGUAUGAGAGAAGCGUUGCAUGUGUUGUAUGAGAGAAAGCGUUGGUUGUUUGUAUGAGAGAAGCGUGUG